rnacentral:rRNA from 1 species
UGGGGAAUAUUGGACAAUGGGCGCAAGCCUGAUCCAGCAAUACCGCGUGUGUGAAGAAGGCCUUAGGGUUGUAAAGCACUUUCAAUGGGGAGGAAAACCUGCCGGUCAAUACCCGGUAGCUUGACAUUACCUAUAGAAGAAGCACCGGCUAACUCCGUGCCAGCAGCCGCGGUAAUACGGAGGGUGCGAGCGUUAAUCGGAAUUACUGGGCGUAAAGCGUGCGUAGGCGGUUCGUUAAGUCAGAUGUGAAAGCCCUGGGCUCAACCUGGGAACUGCAUUUGAAACUGGCGGACUAGAGUUGAGUAGAGGGGAGUGGAAUUUCAGGUGUAGCGGUGAAAUGCGUAGAUAUCUGAAGGAACACCAGUGGCGAAGGCGACUCCCUGGACUCAAACUGACGCUGAGGUACGAAAGCGUGGGUAGCAAACA